UACAGAGGAUGCAAGCGUUAUCCGGAAUGAUUGGGCGUAAAGCGUCUGUAGGUGGCUUUUUAAGUCCGCCGUCAAAUCCCAGGGCUCAACUCUGGACAGGCGGUGGAAACUACCAAGCUGGAGUACGGUAGGGGCAGGAGGGAAUUUCCGGUCGGAGGCGGUGAAAUGCGUAGAGAUCGGAAAGAACACCAACGGCGAAAGCACUCUGCUGGGCCGACACUGACACUGAGAGACGAAAGCUAGGGGAGCGAAUGGG
rnacentral:rRNA from 1 species